rnacentral:rRNA from 1 species
UACGGGGGGGGCAAGCGUUGUUCGGAAUUACUGGGCGUAAAGGGCUCGUAGGUGGCCAACUAAGUCGGACGUGAAAUCCCUCGGCUUAACCGGGAACUGCAUCCGAUACUGGAUGGCUUGAGUUCGGGAGAGGGAUGCGGAAUUCCAGGUGUAGCGGUGAAAUGCGUAGAUAUCUGGAGGAACACCGGUGGCGAAGGCGGCAUCCUGGACCGACACUGACGCUGAGGAGCGAAAGCCAGGGGAGCAAACGGG